GUUGAGGCGGCGCGAGAAACGGUGUGAGAGACGCGAUAAAUCGUGUGAACCGAAAGAUAAACGCGGACGUAACACGUUUGGUGUCAUAAUACGGCGUAACAUUGCGGCUGUCAACGGGAAUCUCCGAGGAAUCUUCGGAUAUACACGCCCUCCCCGCGCGCGCCAGCCGAGAUCCCCGGUGAUAAAUAGCGAUAUAUUUGUCGCGCGAAAGUGAUACCUUCAAUCUCCCUCUCACUUCGUUCGCUCGAAGCGUUGAAAAUACUCGCAGGUGUGAAGGAGCAAAGCGGUUCUGCGAAGCGAGUCAAUCCGUAAGGCGGGAGGAUCCAUCGGGUAAGAUCCGACGGCUAAGAUUAGGCGGGGAAGAUAGGAUUAUCGAAAAUCGUUUAAAGAUUCGACAUCGAGAAAGCAUGGCCGAAAGAACGUCUGACGGUAAGAAAGCGGAAAAAAUAGCGCCGGCGGAUAAGACGGUGGAUAUCGACGGCGGCGGCAUUUUGUCGAGGAAGAUGCCGGAUGUCACGAGAGACGGAAGCGAAAUUAAAAGACGGUCCAAGAGGAACAUCAUCGAUGUGCCCGAACGAGAGCUCAUAGAGAUGGAAAAGGACGGGACGAGAUAUCGCCGCGAUGAGAACGGACGGUGGAGGCCGGUUUUGUAUUGAUUAACGUUUCCACACCGGCUGGAAGAUAUCAACAUUUUAGCAAUGACACUUGAAAACCAGAUGCAAGACGGAACUUCAAAUUGACGAGAUGACAGCUGGGUAGUAAAGACCCAUAUCUACAGUGCUCUUCUUCCUCGCUAUUUUCAUUCGCUGAUAGUAGAUUAAUAAAUUUCUUAAUAAUUGUAGCAACAGUAGAAAAUCAAUACAAAAUUUUCUUGUUUAACUUAA